GACGAACGCUGGCGGCGUGCCUAAUACAUGCAAGUCGAGGGGCAGCGCAGGGUAGCAAUACCUGGGCGGCGACCGGCAAACGGGUGCGGAACACGUACAGAACCUUCCUUCGAGCGGGGGAUAGCCCUGAGAAAUUUGGAUUAAUACCUCAUAGUAUAAUGGUGUGGCAUCACAUUAUUAUUAAAGAUUUAUCACUUGAAGAUGGCUGUGCGUAUGAUUAGGUAGUUGGCGGGGUAACGGCCCACCAAGCCUACGAUCAUUAACUGGUGUGAGAGCACGACCAGUCAAACGGGCACUGAGACACGGGCCCGACUCCUACGGGAGGCAGCAGUAAGGAAUAUUGGUCAAUGGACGCAAGUCUGAACCAGCCAUGCCGCGUGGAGGAUGUAGGUCCUCUGGAUUGUAAACUUCUUUUAUCUGGGACGAAAAAAGGCUUUUCUAAGUCGUCUGACGGUACCAGAUGAAUAAGCACCGGCUAACUCCGUGCCAGCCGCCGCCGUAAUAC
rnacentral:rRNA from 1 species